rnacentral:tRNA from 1 species
AAUGAUUUGGCAGAUUAGUGCAUUAAAUUUAGAAUUUAAAAAAGUAUUAAUAUUAUUACAUUCAUUA